UACGAAGGGGGCUAGCGUUGUUCGGAAUUACUGGGCGUAAAGGGCGCGUAGGCGGUACUUCAAGUCAGGCGUGAAAGCCCCGGGCUCAACCUGGGAACCGCGCUUGAGACUGGAGAACUAGAGUUCGGGAGAGGAUGGUGGAAUUCCCAGUGUAGAGGUGAAAUUCGUAGAUAUUGGGAAGAACACCGAUGGCGAAGGCAGCCAUCUGGACCGACCCUGACGCUGAGGCGCGAAAGCGUGGGGAGCAAACAGG
rnacentral:rRNA from 1 species